rnacentral:rRNA from 1 species
GAACCGUCCAAACGUUAUUCGGAAUCACUGGGCUUAAAGGGUGCGUAGGCGGCCCGGCAAGUUGGGUGUGAAAUCCCUCGGCUCAACCGAGGAAUUGCGCCCAAAACUGCCGGACUAGAGGGAGACAGAGGUGAGCGGAACUCAGGGUGGAGCGGUGAAAUGCGUUGAUAUCCUGAGGAACACCUGUGGCGAAAGCGGCUCACUGGGUCUUUUCUGACGCUGAGGCACGAAAGCUAGGGGAGCGAACGGGAUUAGAUACCCCGGUAGUCCUAGCUGUAAACGAUGAGCACUGGGCCCGGAGGAUCCCUCCCAUAGUCUUCCGGCCCGUAGCGAAAGUGUUAAGUGCUCCGCCUGGGGGAGUAUGGUCGCAAGGCUG